rnacentral:lncRNA from 1 species
CAGUUGCAUAGAAAACAUCGAGUAUGAGAAAUACUGAGAUAUUCCUUUUUAUUAUUAUUGUUGUUGUUAUUUUAGUUGUUGUUAUUUUGCCCUUAUAUAUUUAAAAAAAGUAAUAAUAAAAUAAAAUAAAACAUUCAUCUACAAAGAGGUGGAUUGUGAUCAUUAGCCUACACCCACAGGCACAGAGCUUGACAGAAUCCCAUAUGUAGUUGGAUUACAGAGAAGACAAGACUGUAGCACCAGCUGUAGGCAGCUAGAUAACUCCCUGUGUGUUCAAGAUUUUGGUGGCUUUGGGAUGGCACGACUGGAAUUGAGACCUGGCUCCUGAGAUGCCUGUAUGAUGGAUCUGGCAAUGGGAGUUCUGUUAUUGACCCUGGGCGAAGCAGCCAUCGAGUCCUUGCUCAGACCCAGAAGUACAACAGGUCCUGGCUGUAUCAGUUCCUCACGAAUUUAUGGAUAUAACUAGUAAAAGCUGUAAAUAAAGUCUACACCAGCAAGAAGGAUGGUCUAACA